GACAGAGGGUGCAAACGUUGUUCGGAAUUACUGGGCGUAAAGCGUGUGUAGGCGGCUAUGUAAGUCGGAUGUGAAAGCCCCAGGCUCAACCUGGGAAGUGCACUCGAUACUGCGUAGCUUGAGUAUCGGAGAGGUUGGUGGAAUUCUCGGUGUAGAGGUGAAAUUCGUAGAUAUCGAGAGGAACACCGGUGGCGAAGGCGGCCAACUGGACGAAUACUGACGCUGAGACACGAAAGCGUGGGGAGCAAACAGG
rnacentral:rRNA from 2 species